GCUCUGAUUGGAUAAGCGCCUGCAUGCAUGGUUAAGGGGUAUUUGCGGCAUGUUUUGUUGACAAGUAAAGGGGGGUGGGAAAGUUACACGAGGAAACUUGGAAAUGUACAUAACAGAAGUUAAAACACGCAGUAAAUGAUUUGGAUCGUUCACAUCUCAGUCCGUGCCUCGGACGCUGAAAAUAGCGCCCGCUGUGUGGAGCAAUAAUCAAGCCGAGGUUGAACGAGCCUGGUCCGACAGCGCCGCCCGACUGAACUAUGGAGAAAGUACUUUGCGCGCGUCCACCUUCGAUCUACAGGACAGAAGGUAUCAUUCAGUGGAUUGAAGGAUCUUUUCUUAAGGAAGUUAACAACCCUGCCUUGUUUGCACAGCUCAAGGACUGGCCCUAGGUGUGUUCCAGCAUGAUACAUUUGACCUCAUCUCAAGGGAGAAAAGAGCAUCCGGCCCUCAUAAUGACUGGGAUUGUGUGUUUCUUACUUAUUGGUAUUGUUUUGUAAUUUGUUGUAUUGUAGAUAUCUUAUGGGUGCUAUAGUGAGUGGUGCAAAAUGGCUGGAUUACCCACUGCAUGGUAUCACAGGAACAACACUGGUCAUGGUAUGACAAAAGUGGGUGAUUUUUCCUGUGUUACCGAUGCAGCCUCAAGAAUUAGAAUUAUUAAGCACUAUCUAGGCUGCUGUGUGCUUCUUCCUCAAUUUUAGUAGUGGAUCAAGUGUGAACUGAACAGGAUUUGAUGUUACCAGUGUUGGAAUCUAUGGGAGUAGCUCUUUUAGUGUAAUUUCACUACCUCAUUAUCAGUAACGCCCGGUCAUGAUGCUAUUAGCCUACCAAUGAGCCUUUUCUUAAUUUGUGGAGACAGAACCUGGAAAGGAAUCCCAGGCAAAGCUAAUGGAGGAACCUGUACUAUAGGAUGAUUAACUCUCUUUCAUCCAACUAAUCAGGAUUUAAAACAUAUGACCAUGUAUCACUCGAGACAAAGGCGCACACUAUCUUACUUUGAUUCAAGAUGUGAUUCUAAUAUAGAAUUCUGGAAUACCACCCAACAGAUUUUUUGGUUCACUCGUCCCUUCAGUUGACACCUAUGUCAGGGACCUAAAGGCCCCUGACUAAAGAAUGAUCCUGGGAUGGAACAAAGUAUUCUGACAGUUUUAAGGGAACUGAUAUUGUGGCUACAGCCACAAAUACCUUAUUUUGUAGAGAGAGCUGACCUUGGCAGUUUAUCUUGUUUUGCAAGCAGGUGUUCCACACUGGCCAUCUGGAUGCAGUGUCCAAAUGGAAAAAAACCCUGCAGACCCUGGGGAAAAUAAAAGCAGGAGAGAGGCUGUGGUGGGUGAGAGAGGAAAAGUGCACCUUGAAGCAGGGGGCGCACUGCUGGCACUACAUAUCGAAUCCACCACUGGCAUGUUCCUUCUCUCUCCUUUCUGGUGGUUCGCUGUCUCUAAAGGGUCAGUAAGUAAUAGUGCACUUGCUUAGGGAGUUUCUGCUUCCUGCUUACAGAGAUUAUCUAAAAUGGACGCCUGUGUGUGAAUUUGUGUAUGGUGAAUAAAACUCGUAACCCUCUGUGCUGCUCUGAGUGCAUAGUUUGCUUGCCUUUGCUCCUGAGACAUCCUGUCUCUCAGAUCCAAACGUACCCUGAAACAGCACCUCUCAAGUUUUAGCCACACUCACCAGAUUAGGAUGCUGUCUGGCUAAGAAAAACAAUGCCACUAGUGAUGCUCUAGCAGGUUUGCCCACUGACAUUGAUUCUAUCCAGCAUGCAACUUUACAAAAUUGUACAGCCAUUGAUUUUCUAUUAUUAGCCCAAGUGCAUGGUUGUGAAGAUUUUAAAAGCAUGUGUUGUAUGAAUCUUAGUGAUCAUUCAAAAUCGAUACAUCAGAGUAUACGAAAGUUGAACAUUCUCUCUAAUCAGUUACAGGUGCACAUGGAAUGGGACCCUCUGGGAUUCCUUUCCAGGUUGCAGGAGCUUGGGCUAUGGGCCAAACAUGUGUUCCUUCUUUUCUUAAUAGGUUUAAUUGUAUUUCUUGCCAUUAUGCUAUGUUUGCCUUGUCUCUUAUGUUCAGCAUGUUGUCAAUUGAAGCCUUGAUUGAAUCCUGAUAACCUAAAUGCAUUCAGCAACGCUGUUACAAAGCGUUACACAAAAUGAAGGAGAAAGCUCUAAAUCAGGCAUUUGGGAUGCUGUGUACAAGGCAUGAUUAUGUUUUUAAUAUGAUUAGUGCUAUCAUUCUGUAGUAUGUUAACAGUUUGCUAAUAAACAAGAAAAAGGGGGAAUGUGGGAAUACAAGAAAGAAUAUUCAGAGCAGAAGCUGCAGAGCAAGAUAAACAGCAUGAGAAAGCAAUGCUGAGAACCAAGGAAGGCUCCAGGAGAGAAAAACAAGAGCCAAGUGAGCUGCGUGAUUGCUGCGUGAUAAUGACCCUGACUGGAGGAAGAGCACGUGGCUAGGAACGACUCAAGACUCUGACUGGAUAAGCGCCUGCAUGCAUGGUUAAGGGGUGUUUGUGGAAUGUUUUGUUGACAUGUGGGAAAGGGGUGGGAAAGUUACAAGAGGAAACUUGGAAAUGUAUAGAACGGAUGUUAGAAUGUGCAAUAAAUGAUUUGGAUUUUUUAUAUCUGAGUCCAUGCCUCAGACACUGCACUGAGUGGUCCGGUAUGUUACCAUUAAUUU